rnacentral:lncRNA from 1 species
GUAAAACAAUGAACAUUUUAUUUUAUGGAGAGAGAAUGACAUUAAGUCGAGUUGACAAGUAAAAGAAUAAAACAGAGUUGUGUAUAAAAACUAUAAAGAAGGUUUGAUUCAACAGUAACCCUCUAGUAAAGUAAAUCAUAGAUUAAGCCACUGCUUUUUUCUUAGGGAUUCCCCAGAAUCCCAAUAAGUAUAAUCCGCCAAAUUUUUAUUUACCUAUUUUCGUUGAUGUCACCAGAACUUACUUGUAUUGUAAUAUACAGGUACUUCAUGUACCAUGAAAGAUUAUCAUGGUAAUUUCAUUUACGAAAACCUUGUAAUUGUCAUUUCACUUUUGCUAGCAGUUCCUUCUUCAAAGACUGAGGUGGAAAGAUUAUUCAGUGUUCUCAAAUGUAAAAACUGACAAAAGAAACAGGCUUUCUAAUGAAACCCUGAACGGCUUGCUUCAUAGAAAGUUCCCAACUUUGCCAGCAAACAAUUGCUCAAUUUUAGAACCGAACAGUGUUAGGUUGCGUGCAGCAAAAGAAUAUAAAAGCAAUGCGUCGACUUCCUUGAAAAUUCUAAUCCUAUAGAUCUAUGAUCUUCUGGGGGCGUUUAUAUUAUAUAUACCUACAUUAAAUAAUAUGCUGUGGUUUAUUUUCUGUAUUUUAUUUAUGCUUUCUAUAAAAGGAUUUAUGAAAGUUGUCUAGGAAAUUUUAGGGAUAAAUUCAAAAGAAACUAGGGUAAAAUGUGUUAAAAAAACGUAAGUGGAAACACUGCUUUGAAGUUUUCAAAAUUCCAGGGCCGUAAAACAAUCUAAAAAAAAAAAAAAGUUUUCAAAAUGUCGUAACGAUUUAAUUUUUUAAAUCGUUUUUUUUUGGUCUUGGUGUGAGUUAUUUUACGUUGUAGUAUUAAUUUAGAGCAACUUUUAGCUUUAUGAGAAUAUUAGACGAUUAGACAUUGAGAAACUCUGUUUUGAAUUCUCUUUAGACAUAACUUGGCUCCAAUACUUUUUUCUUCGUUAGCGUUUCGUAAGCCUGUGUAACUAUUUUCAUUUCUUACAGAAAGUUUAUUAUUAAAAAUCAGCAUGCCUCGAAGAUCGAAAAUGAAAUGCUAUUUCGGAUGCCUUGAUAACGACAAAGGUUUGAUAAUGACAAAAUUUUAUGGAAAAAUUAUAAGGAGCACUAAAAUGUCUGAAACAUGAAAAGAUUGAUGCACUAUAUUUGAACCAGAACGUGUUAUGUAAUAUAUUAAUUUAAGAGAAACUGAUUCAGCAAGGAACGUGAACUCUCAAGGGAUCUUAAUUUUUUUUAAAUAUGUUUAUAAUUGAUAAAUUAAUAAUUGAAAUAGUUCAUAAGAACUAAAUUGAUGCCAAUUUUGUUUUAAAAUAGGUUGUUUAGUUCUUAUAGUUAUAGUAUUACGUUUGAAUAGUUGUAAUUAGUAAGUUAGUAAUAUAUGAAAAUACUGAUAUAAAUUUUUGUAAAUAACCUUUUGUAAAUUCUACGAGAAGAUGAUUUUAAUUAAUGAUCAAAAGUCAACGGUCUUUAAAAGCAUUAUUUGCAAUUAUUUAGAUUAACUGUGGAAUAUAUUUGCUAAGUUGUGUUUUCUGUAUGAGCAGAUAUAAAUGAAAAUGCCCAAACAUGAUUAUGUUUCUUACAUUUUCAUUAUGUGAAAUCAAUAUGCUUGUGACUGAGUAUAUUAAUAAUUUAUUAAAACUUAAGUGAUAGACAGCAACCCCUAUGGCACUGCUGAAGUUUAUAAGCACUGGUGACCACUUAUCAUGGGCCGGGUUGCGUGCUCGUCUGCUGUUGAGUGCAAUAAAAAUUUUCGAAACCCUUUCUAUUAUUUAGAUGUAAUAUUAGUGUACAUUUAAUUUGGAUUAAAAGAUAAAUUUACAUUUUAUGUUUGCAUGUGUAUGUUUAUAAUUCAUUUGCAUGUAACGAACACCAGUUUCUUUUGUAACAAAAUGUAAACUAAUGGUUUGUAAUGAAUGUAAUUAACUUUAAGAUGAUUUUCUUUCAAUCUGCUGUUUGUUUCAUCUAGUAUUACCAAAGCUAAA